rnacentral:tRNA from 1 species
GGGGAUAUAGCUCAGCUGGUUAGAGCGCGUCACUGAUAAUGACGAGGUCUCAGGUUCAAGUCCUGAUAUCCCCACCA